rnacentral:rRNA from 1 species
UACAGAGGGUGCGAGCGUUAAUCGGAAUUACUGGGCGUAAAGCGCGCGUAGGCGGCUUUGCAAGUCGGGUGUGAAAUCCCCAGGCUUAACCUGGGAACUGCAUUCGAGACUGCAUUGCUAGAGUAUGGGAGAGGGAUGCGGAAUUCCAGGUGUAGCGGUGAAAUGCGUAGAUAUCUGGAGGAACACCGGUGGCGAAGGCGGCAUCCUGGACCGACACUGACACUGAGGAGCGGAAAGCCAGGGGAGCAAACGGG